rnacentral:rRNA from 1 species
UACGGAAGGCAGCAGUGGGGAAUAUUGCACAAUGGGCGCAAGCCUGAUGCAGCCAUGCCGCGUGUAUGAAGAGGGCCUUCGGGUUGUAAAGUACUUUCAGUCGUGAGGAAGGUGUUAAGGUUAAUAACCUUAGCAAUUGACGUUAGCGACAGAAGAAGCACCGGCUAACUCCGUGCCAGCAGCCGCGGUAAUACGGAGGGUGCGAGCGUUAAUCGGAAUUACUGGGCGUAAAGGGCACGCAGGCGGUUAAUUAAGUUGGAUGUGAAAUCCCCGGGCUUAACCUGGGAAUGGCAUUCAAGACUGGUUAGCUAGAGUCUUGUAGAGGGGGUAGAAUUCCAUGUGUAGCGGUGAAAUGCGUAGAGAUGUGGAGGAAUACCGGUGGCGAAGGCGGCCCCUGGGCAAAGGCUGACGCUCAUGUGCGAAAGCGUGGGGAGCAAAC